UGCUGUGUGGCGUAUUUGUUUGGGUGUCGGACUAGGUCUCUGGAGACAAGGGUUCAAAUCCCUCCUCAGCCA